GAUGAACGCUAGCGGCAGGCUUAACACAUGCAAGUCGAGGGGCAGCGCGAUGUAGCAAUACAUUGGCGGCGACCGGCGCACGGGUGCGUAACACGUAUGGAACUUACCCUUUACUGGGAGAUAGCCCGGAGAAAUCCGGAUUAAUAUCCCAUAAUAAACGAAGUGGCAUCACUUUAUUUUGAAAGCUCCGGCGGUAAAGGAUGGCCAUGCGCACGAUUAGCUAGUAGGUGAGGUAACGGCUCACCUAGGCUACGAUCGUUAGGGGGCCUGAGAGGGUUAUCCCCCACACUGGUACUGAGACACGGACCAGACUCCUACGGGAGGCAGCAGUGAGGAAUAUUGCGCAAUGGAGGCAACUCUGACGCAGCCAUGCCGCGUGCAGGAAGAAGGCGCUACGCGUUGUAAACUGCUUUUAACCGGGAAGAAACCCUCCGACGUGUCGGAGGUUGACGGUACCGGAGGAAUAAGCACCGGCUAACUUCGUGCCAGCAGCCGCGGU
rnacentral:rRNA from 1 species